rnacentral:rRNA from 1 species
AUUGAACGCUGGCGGCAGGCCUAACACAUGCAAGUCGAGCGAGCGGCGGACGGGUGAGUUAUGUCUGGGAAACUGCCUGAUGGAGGGGGAUAACUACUGGAAACGGUAGCUAAUACCGCUUACCCUCAGAUGUGCCCAGAUGGGAUUAGCUAGGAGGUGGGGUAACGGCUCACCUAGGCGACGAUCCCUAGCUGGUCUGAGAGGAUGACCAGCCAAACUGGAACUGAGAAAUGGUCCAGACUCCUACGUGAGGCAGCAGUGGGGAAUAUUGAACAAUGGGCGCAAGCCUGAUGCAGCCAUGACGCGUGUGUGAAGAAGGCCUUCGGGUUGUAAAGCACUUUCAGCGGGGAGGCGUUACCCGCAGAAGAAGCACCGGCUAACUCAGGGCCAGCAGCCGCGGUAAUUC